UACGUUCCCGGGCUUGUACACACCGCCCGUCACACCACGAAAGUCGGCAACACCCGAAGCCGGUGGCCCAACCCUCUGGGAGGGAGCCGUCGAAGGUGGGGUCGGUGAUUGGGGUG
rnacentral:rRNA from 1 species